rnacentral:rRNA from 1 species
UGGGGAAUUUUGGACAAUGGGCGAAAGCCUGAUCCAGCAAUGCCGCGUGUGUGAAGAAGGCCUUCGGGUUGUAAAGCACUUUUGUCCGGAAAGAAAUCCUCUGGGUUAAUACCUCGGGGGGAUGACGGUACCGGAAGAAUAAGCACCGGCUAACUACGUGCCAGCAGCCGCGGUAAUACGUAGGGUGCAAGCGUUAAUCGGAAUUACUGGGCGUAAAGCGUGCGCAGGCGGUUUUGUAAGACGGAUGUGAAAUCCCCGGGCUUAACCUGGGAACUGCAUUCGUGACUGCAAGGCUAGAGUAUGGCAGAGGGGGGUAGAAUUCCACGUGUAGCAGUGAAAUGCGUAGAGAUGUGGAGGAAUACCGAUGGCGAAGGCAGCCCCCUGGGCCAAUACUGACGCUCAUGCACGAAAGCGUGGGGAGCAAACAGGAUUAGAUACCCUGGUAGUCCACGCCCUAAACGAUGUCAACUAGUUGUUGGGGAUUCAUUUCCUUAGUAACGUAGCUAACGCGUGAAGUUGACCGCCUGGGGG